rnacentral:rRNA from 1 species
UACGGGAGGCAGCAGUGAGGAAUAUUGCACAAUGGAGGAAACUCUGAUGCAGCGACGCCGCGUGAGUGACGAAGUGUUUCGGCAUGUAAAGCUCUAUCAGCAGGGAAGAAAAUGACGGUACCUGACUAAGAAGCCCCGGCUAACUACGUGCCAGCAGCCGCGGUAAU